GACGAACGCUGGCGGCGUGCUUAACACAUGCAAGUCGAACGGAAAGGCCCUGCUUGCAGGGUACUCGAGUGGCGAACGGGUGAGUAACACGUGGGUGAUCUGCCCUGCACUUCGGGAUAAGCCUGGGAAACUGGGUCUAAUACCGGAUAGAAGCCAUUUUUAGUGUGAUGGUUGGAAAGUUUUUUCGGUGUAGGAUGAGCUCGCGGCCUAUCAGCUUGUUGGUGGGGUAAUGGCCUACCAAGGCGGCGACGGGUAGCCGGCCUGAGAGGGUGGACGGCCACAUUGGGACUGAGAUACGGCCCAGACUCCUACGGGAGGCAGCAGUGGGGAAUAUUGCACAAUGGGCGCAAGCCUGAUGCAGCGACGCCGCGUGGGGGAUGACGGCCUUCGGGUUGUAAACUCCUUUCGCUAGGGACGAAGCUUUUUGUGACGGUACCUAGAGAAGAAGCACCGGCUAACUACGUG
rnacentral:rRNA from 1 species